rnacentral:tRNA from 1 species
UGUGUCCAUAGCUCAGCUGGAUAGAGCAACGGCCUUCUAAGCCGUGGGUCGGGGGUUCGAAUCCCUUUGGGCACAU